CAGUGGACAUCAUUGUCCAGUGUGGGAAGCCUGGCCCCACUCAGACCCUGCUCACCCUGCUACCGACCCAGCUGCCAUCUUCCUCAGACUCCAGCAGGCCCUCCACUCCUAGCACACAGGCCGGAUUGAAUCUUCAGGAAAGAAGAGCACACCCAGGGUGGGACCUGACCUUCCCAAGGUCACACAACUGCGGAGCAGCAGAUCUGGGUCCUGGAUCCCCAAACUCUGAUGAGAUGCAGGCCGCUUCUUGCCCACACAGCAGCGUGAGCUGCUGUCCUGCGGUUUGAAGGACCAUCUAGGUGGCCUCGCAGACUGACCUCCAGGAAGACCAGAUGGCAUCCUGCUCCACACGUUUACUCUUGGUGACUUUGGAUCACUUGGUUAAUUUCUUUAGGCUUUAUUUCCCUUAUCUGUGCAAUGAGAUUGGUGAUGUUGUGUUUAAUGGAGAUGGUGAUGAUAACAGUAGUAAAACACAUUAAAGAGCCUGGCCACGAUAAA
rnacentral:lncRNA from 1 species